UUAGCAGGAAGACGACCGCAAGCAGAGGAGCCAACUUGAGGACCAUCCUCUCUCUUACACGAAGAGUGUGAGUGGGCAAGGCAGGUCGAUAUAAUGGGGAGAGGUGGUCAGGGAAGGGAUGAUGGAAUCCAUGUCACAUGGUGGUGAGGUCUGCAUGAUUGGCCACACUGCGAUGCCUCAGGCUGAGGUCUGCAUGGCUGUAAAGCUGCUCCUCGAUCUCGUCUCAGAAAUGUGCAAAGCAGAUGCUGCAUCUGAUCAAACGAGGACCACAAUCGGAUAAUCUCACCUGCGUAAAAGAUAGAUAGGAGGCAAAC
rnacentral:lncRNA from 1 species